rnacentral:rRNA from 1 species
UACAGAGGGGGGCAAGCGUUUGUUCGGAAUUACUGGGCGUAAAGGGCGCGUAGGCGGCCGCCUAAGUCAGACGUGAAAUCCCUCGGCUCAACCGGGGAACUGCGUCUGAUACUGGGUGGCUUGAAUCCGGGAGAGGGAUGCGGAAUUCCAGGUGUAGCGGUGAAAUGCGUAGAUAUUCGGAAGAACACCAGUGGCGAAGGCGGCUCACUGGCCCGUUACCGACGCUCAGGCGCGACAGCGUGGGGAGCAAACAGG